CCUACGGGAGGCAGCAGUGAGGAAUAUUGGUCAAUGGGCGCGAGCCUGAACCAGCCAAGUCGCGUGAGGGAGGACGGCCCUAUGGGUUGUAAACCUCUUUUGCCGGGGAGCAACAGGCGCCACGUGUGGCGUCACUGAGAGUACCCGGAGAAAAAGCAUCGGCUAACCCCGUGCCAGCAGCCGCGGUAAUACGGAGGAUGCGAGCGUUAUCCGGAUUUAUUGGGUUUAAAGGGUGCGUAGGCGGAUGGUUAAGUCAGGGGUAAAAGUGAGGGGCUCAACCCCUUCCCGCCAUUGAAACUGGCGUUCUUGAGUGGGAGAGAAGUAUGCGGAAUGCGUGGUGUAGCGGUGAAAUGCAUAGAUAUCACGCAGAACCCCGAUUGCGAAGGCAGCAUGCCGGCUUCCGACUGACGCUGAAGCACGAAAGCGUGGGGAUCGAACAGGAUUAGAUACCCCAGUAGUC
rnacentral:rRNA from 1 species